rnacentral:rRNA from 1 species
GACAGAGGGUGCAAACGUUGUUCGGAAUUACUGGGCGUAAAGCGAGUGUAGGCGGUUUCCUAAGUCAGGUGUGAAAGCCCCCGGGCUCAACCCCGGGAAGUGCACUUGAAACUGGGAGGCUAGAGUAUCGGAGAGGUUGGUGGAAUUCUCGGUGUAGAGGUGAAAUUCGUAGAUAUUGGGAAGAACACCGGUGGCGAAGGCGGCAACCUAGUCCGGUACUGACGCUGAGGUGCGAAAGCGUGGGGAGCAAACAGG